AUGCUGUUCACUAAGAAUACUCUCACUGAAUCCGGCAAUAUUGUUUCUGCUAAUGUCACAUGCAUAGAGAAAGUGCCCCAGUAUAAAUAUCUUGUCAUCUGGCUGGAUGUUGGACGUGAUGUCCGUCCCACCCUGACGGUGCUGCCCCCCUCGAGUGAGGAGCUGGACCAGGAGCUGAAGCAGGGCAAGGCCACGCUUAUAUGUCUGGCCAACAAGGGCUUCCCCUCAGACUGGAGUUUGGCCUGGAAGGUGGACGGCAGCAGAAGCACCUUGGAGCAGAGCAGGAGCCCCGCGGUGCUGCAGAAGGAUGGCCUCUACAGCUGGAGCAGCACCCUGAGGCUCACUGCAGACCAGUGGAGGAAUGUGGGCUCUGUGACCUGUGAGGCCACCCAGGGCUCCCAGACUCCACUCUCAGAGACACUGAGGAGAGACCAGUGUCCCCAGUCCUGAUCUGACUCACUGGGACUCUGCUACUGGUUUUACUCUGCUACUGCUCUCACUCUGAUCUCUGCAACUAUUUCUCCUUGUGUUCCUUUCUCAUGGUGUGUUUCAACAUUAAUGUCUUCAUGCUUGUUGUAUUGUUAACAUUUUAAAACAAUAAAUAUUACAUUAAAUCAGCA